rnacentral:rRNA from 1 species
UACGUAGGGGGCAAGCGUUGUCCGGAUUUAUUGGGCGUAAAGAGCGUGUAGGCGGCCAGGUAGGUCUGGUGUGAAAACUCGAGGCUUAACCUCGAGAUGUCAUCGGAAACCAUCUAGCUAGAGUCCGGAAGAGGAGAGUGGAAUUCCUGGUGUAGCGGUGAAAUGCGCAGAUAUCAGGAAGAACACCCGUGGCGAAGGCGGCUCUCUGGUACGUGACUGACGCUGAGACGCGAAAGCGUGGGGAGCGAACAGG